rnacentral:tRNA from 1 species
UCGGAUAUGGUGUAACGGCUAACAUUGCCGCCUCUCAUCUCCCUGUAUUCGCGGCAGCUCGGGGUUCGAUUCCCCGUAUCCGAA